CGGAGACGAGGCGCACCCUGGCCGAAAUUAUCGGGAUGAUUCAGGCCUCUAAUAUCUGAUGCAACAAGAAUAUUGAGGCACCAAGCCCACGGAUGUUGGGAUUUAAUUUCAUCUUGGGAUUUUUGUAACCGGCCAACAUAGAAACAGGGAAGCUAGACGUUGGUGUCUGUUCUUGACUUUGUGGAUCUCCUUACCGGAGGAUGCACGUCCUCCACCCUGAUGGAACCGUACGGUUUCUUCCUACACACGGAACGCACCGGGCGUCGCCUGCGACCUUACAGUUGUACAAUAUCAAAAUCAUCGUGGAUAGAGAAAUGAAUCUAUGAUUCAAUCAGAGAACAUAAUCUGUACAAAAAUAUCUUCACAAUCAAACAGUUAAUGGUAAAUUUGUCUACAUAAAGUUAGAAAAAACAUGUUAACAUAUUGUGCUUAUGGUAAAGAAAAUAGGGGAAAUAUUUCAAUGGCACAAAGAAGAUUAUCGAUUCUUUGCUUGGUGAAACAAGUGUCAGUCAAAAUCCGUCCUAAUUACUUUUAGAAUAGGAAGCAGUUCUGUUUCAGUUAACUCUGCUAUUUCAACCACACACUAUUGCCGAUGGUGUUCCAUAGGACUCUGUUUAGGGUCCCUUAUUGCCAUAUAUUUGAAUGAAAUUUCCUGUCGUCUUUAUGUUGAUGAAAUGAGUCUUUCACAUAACCAUCAAAUUGUAAAUACAACCACUGGCAAUCUGAAUUCAGAACUUGUACGGGGAAUGAAUGGCUCUUGUUGAAAAGAACGCUCAGUUAAAUUACUCAAAACAAAUUGCAUAUUUGUUAGCUCUCUUCAAAAUAAUUACACACUUAAACACGAAAUACUUUUUUAUCAGUUGGCGUAGUACUACAUUAAAACUAGGUAAAGGGUCCUGGGUGUUUAGCUGGAUCAGAGCCUCUCUUUGAGUAAAAGUACUGACGUCUCGUGUACCGGGGUUAUCUGAAACAAAAUGUUCCGAUGAAAACUAUACUUUAUUUAGGACACUUUGUCCAAUUUAACUUUAAAUUUUUAAUUGUAUCAGUUAGUAUGUGUUUUGUAUUUCAAUUAGUCUGGAUAGCCUCUUUGACAGAAUUUAUUUCUUUUUGGCGAUAC